GAACGGACGAGAAGCUUGCUUCUCUGAUGUUAGCGGCGGACGGGUGAGUAACACGUGGAUAACCUACCUAUAAGACUGGGAUAACUUCGGGAAACCGGAGCUAAUACCGGAUAAUAUUAUGAACCGCAUGGUUCAAAAGUGAAAGACGGUCUUGCUGUCACUUAUAGAUGGAUCCGCGCUGCAUUAGCUAGUUGGUAAGGUAACGGCUUACCAAGGCAACGAUGCAUAGCCGACCUGAGAGGGUGAUCGGCCACACUGGAACUGAGACACGGUCCAGACUCCUACGGGAGGCAGCAGUAGGGAAUCUUCCGCAAUGGGCGAAAGCCUGACGGAGCAACGCCGCGUGAGUGAUGAAGGUCUUCGGAUCGUAAAACUCUGUUAUUAGGGAAGAACAUAUGUGUAAGUAACUGUGCACAUCUUGACGGUACCUAAUCAGAAAGCCACGGCUAACUACGUGCCAGCAGCCGCGGUAAUACGUAGGUGGCAAGCGUUAUCCGGAAUUAUUGGGCGUAAAGCGCGCGUAGGCGGUUUUUUAAGUCUGAUGUGAAAGCCCACGGCUCAACCGUGGAGGGUCAUUGGAAACUGGAAAACUUGAGUGCAGAAGAGGAAAGUGGAAUUCCAUGUGUAGCGGUGAAAUGCGCAGAGAUAUGGAGGAACACCAGUGGCGAAGGCGACUUUCUGGUCUGUAACUGACGCUGAUGUGCGAAAGCGUGGGGAUCAAACAGGAUUAGAUACCCUGGUAGUCCACGCCGUAAACGAUGAGUGCUAAGUGUUAGGGGGUUUCCGCCCCUUAGUGCUGCAGCUAACGCAUUAAGCACUCCGCCUGGGGAGUACGACCGCCAAGGUUG
rnacentral:rRNA from 1 species